rnacentral:rRNA from 1 species
UCGAGCGUCUCCAAGCUAUGGAAGAGACGCGGCACACAGCUCAGUAACACGUGGCUAACCUGCCCUUGGGACAAGGACAACUCCGGGAAACUGGAGCUAAUCCCUGAUAAGUGAGAACUCCUGGAAUGGAUUCUCGCUCAAAGGACGUUUAGACCAUGCUUCUAAGCGUCGCCCAAGGAAGGGGCCGCGACCGAUCAGGUUGUUGGUGAGGUAACGGCUCACCAAGCCUUUAACCGGUACGGGCCGUGAGAGCGGAAGCCCGGAGAUGGGCACUGAGACAAGGGCCCAGGCCCUACGGGGCGCAGCAGUCGCGAAAACUCCGCAAUACACGAAAGUGUGACGGGGCCAUCCCGAGUGCCAUCCGCUGAGGAUGGCUUUUCCCCAGUGUAUAAAGCUGGGGGAAUAAGGAGAGGGCAAGCCUGGUGUCAGCCGCCGCGGUAAUACCAGCUCUCCGAGUGGUGGGGAUGCUUAUUGGGCCUAAAGCAUUCGUAGCCUGCUUGGCAAGUCCUCCGUUAAAUCCAACGAUUCAAUCGUUGGGCUGCGGGGGAUACUGUCCGGCUAGGGGGCGGGAGAGGCCGACGGUAUCCUCGGGGUAGGGGUGAAAUCCUAUAAUCCCGGGAGGACCACCAGUGGCGAAGGCUGUCAGCUAGAACGCGCUCGACGGUGAGGGAUGAAAGCUGGGGGAGCGAACCGGAUUAGAUACCCGGGUA